UGUUGAUGAUGAGUAUUUUUUAUGUCAGUUCUGCUACUGAAUAUAAUUGAAGAGAAUACAUUUCUGAAAA
rnacentral:snoRNA from 1 species